rnacentral:lncRNA from 1 species
GUAACUGAGGCUUGGAGAAGCAAUUUACUUAAGAUCAUAGAAUGGUGAAAAAUAUCAUGUCUACUGCUUGAGCACCAUGACUACCUGCCUCCCUCUCCUUUGUUGGGCAUUUCAGCUAAUCUCAUCCCGAUUGGGUCCUGGGAACCUCUUAGAUUUUUUUGUCAUCUGGGAUUUGCUGGUGGCUACCACCAGUUCCCCAUCCUCCAUUGCUACACACCUCUGUUCAAAUUCGUGACACUCUGUAUAUCAUCCCCACCUCCUCCCACAACUGAUCCUGCCCCACUUUCCCCCUCCCCCAUAUUUUGCUCCCAAGUCCCUCCCACCCUCUAACUUUCUGUCUAAAGGAAAU